ACGAAGAUCGCCCCGAGGCUACGUGGCAGAGGCCAGAAAGGAAACUGAAACCCGAAGCUCCAGUGGCUUGGAAUGGGCGGCGGCCGCAGUUAGGGGGAACCGAACGAGAAUCCAGGAUUUACGCAGCUAAAACGGCUCUGCCAGGAGCUGACAGUCCCCACAGAGUCCCGGCCUAGCGUUUCGCGGGAGGGACCGGAAGAGGAAGUCGGGGCUGCACCCUAGAGGUCCGGGUGCCGCCAGCGCAGCCUGAGCCUAGCUGCCCGCCCGUGGGAUGGGGCUGCUGCACUCGCUGCACGCUCCCGCGGCUGCCCUGCUCUGGAGCUGCCUGCUCGGACUGGCAGCUGCUCAGGAAGCCAUUCUGCAUGCGUCUGCAAAUGGCGCGUCUUCACUUUCCAAGGACUACUGCAUGUAUUAUAACAACAACUGGACACGGCUUCCAAGUUCCCUAGAAAAUGCAACUUCUCUGAGCUUGAUGAAUUUGACGGGCACACCACUGUGCCACCUUUCUGAUAUUCCUCCUGAUGGCAUAAGGAACAAGGCAGUGGUGGUGCACUGGGGACCCUGCCAUUUUCUUGAAAAAGCCAGAAUUGCACAGGAAGGUGGUGCUGCAGCAUUGCUGAUUGCCAACAACAGUGUCCUAAUUCCUUCCUCAAGGAACAAAUCUACAUUUCAAAAUGUGACUAUACUAAUUGCAGUUAUAACCCAAAAAGACUUCAAAGAUAUGAAAGAGACUCUUGGAGAUGACAUUACCGUGAAAAUGUAUUCCCCAUCCUGGCCUAACUUUGACUAUACUCUGGUGGUUAUUUUUGUAAUUGCUGUGUUCACUGUGGCCUUAGGAGGAUACUGGAGUGGACUUAUUGAAUUGGAAAACAUGAAGUCAGUGGAAGACGCAGAAGAGAGAGAGACAAGAAAAAAGAAGGACGAUUACUUAACGUUCAGUCCUCUCACGGUUGUCGCCUUCGUGGCCAUCUGCUGCGUAAUGAUUGUCUUACUGUAUUUCUUCUACAGGUGGCUCGUUUAUGUUAUGAUAGCAAUUUUCUGCAUAGCAUCGUCAAUGAGCCUGUACAACUGUCUUUCUGCAUUGAUUCAUAGGAUGCCAUGUGGACAGUGCACGAUUUUGUGUUGUGGCAAAAACAUUAAAGUGAGCCUGAUUUUCCUUUCCGGGCUGUGCAUCUCAGUUGCUGUUGUGUGGGCUGUAUUUCGAAAUGAGGAUAGGUGGGCUUGGAUUUUACAGGAUAUCUUAGGAAUUGCUUUCUGUCUCAACUUAAUUAAAACAAUGAAGUUACCCAAUUUCAUGUCAUGUGUGAUACUGCUAGGCCUUCUUCUCAUCUACGAUGUGUUCUUUGUCUUCAUCACACCCUUCAUCACAAAGAAUGGUGAGAGCAUCAUGGUGGAACUUGCUGCUGGGCCUUUCGAGAAUGCUGAAAAGAAUGAUGGAAACUUUGUGGAAGCCACUGCUCUGCACACAGCUCCCCAUGAGAAAUUGCCAGUAGUUAUCAGGGUGCCAAAACUGAUGGGUUACUCAGUCAUGAGUGUAUGCUCCGUGCCUGUUUCAGUAUUGGGUUUCGGAGAUAUCAUUGUACCAGGCCUGUUGAUUGCAUAUUGUAGAAGAUUCGACGUUCAGACUGGUUCUUCUAUAUACUAUAUUUCAUCCACAAUUGCCUAUGCCGUUGGCAUGAUCAUUACCUUUGUUGUCCUGAUGGUGAUGAAGACAGGGCAGCCUGCUCUCCUCUACUUGGUACCUUGUACACUUAUUGCUGUCUCAGUCGUUGCUUGGAGUCGUAAGGAAAUGAAAAAGUUCUGGAAAGGCAGCAGCUAUCAGGUGAUGGACCACCUGGACUAUUCAACAAAUGAAGAAAAUCCAGUGAUGACUGAUGAGCAGAUUGUACAACAGUAAUUACGUGGACUUACAAUGAUGUGUUAUUGAUUUCCUACAAAUAGAUUUUGGCCUUUUUUUCUUUUUUGCUCUGUCUCCCAAAGGUUUGGGACUAUAGCUGGACAACACUAUGCCCAACAAGUUUUAAAUCAAAGUUUGAGUUGAAAAUUGGGAACAUUUACAGUGAUGUUUGCAAAUCUGUAUAUUUUUAUGAGUUGGUAAAAAUCCCAUCAUACAUAGUGAAAAUGCAUUUUCUUUUAAUUAUGUUAAAGUUGUGCCUUCACAAUCAGCUUAAAAACAUAGGGUUUGUGUAGUUUCCAAACGUAUUAUAUACAUUAUAUUUUUCUAAAAAAGAAAAAAAAAGCUUCCCUGACCUUCCUUUGUACUUUUCUUAAUGAAAUAUUUCUCCAAAUUCUAAGGUUAGAUCAUGUGUAAGUGUCAAAGCAAGUUUCUGAGUAUAUGUUUUUGUUAAAGAUUUAUGUAACUCUUAACCCCUCUACAGAAAUAAAUACUUAAGACUGCAAGAAGACAGUUCAUGUAUAUGGGUGUUUUGCCUGUAUGCAUCUAUCUGUACACCACAUUUGUGCCUGGUGCCAAUGGAGACCAGAGGAGGGUGUUGGAUUCCCUGGGACUGGAGUUACAGAUGGUUGUCAGCUGCCCUUUGGGUUCUGGGAAUCAAACCCAGGUCCUUAGAAAGAGCAGCAAGUGCUCCUAACUGCUGAACCAUCUCUUCAUCCUUGUCAUUUAAGCUUUUAAAACCUUGUAACCCUUUUUAAACCUGAGAACCUACAUUCUUUCAUCUCUAUACACAUGCUAUCAGACUGUUUUUUAGGUAGAAGGAGACAUAGAGGUAGUUAUUAGAAGGACACCAGGACUGAAUCCCGUUCGUAUCUCAUUCCUAUGGUUUGCUUGAAGACACAGAUUCAACUUCUGUAUUAAACUUCAGUUUGGUUUUUUCUGAUCUUUGAAA